GUCGUAACAAGGUUUCCGUAGGUGAACCUGCGGAAGGAUCAUUACCACACCUAAAAACUUUCCACGUGAACCGUUGUAAUGCUGUUUUGUGCUGCCGUGUACUUAGUAUGCGAAGGCUGAACGAAGGUGCCGUAAAACGCACCGAUGCUCUUUUAAACCAUUUCUAAAUUACUGAUUGAUACUCCUAGGACGAAAGUCUUUGGUUUUAAUCCUAAACAACUUUCAGCAGUGGAUGUCUAGGCUCGC
rnacentral:misc_RNA from 1 species